rnacentral:rRNA from 1 species
CUUGACCCGUCUUGAAGCACGGACCAAGGAGUCUAACACGUGCGCAAGUCGCAGGGCAGUACGAAACCCGGAGGCGAAAUGAAAGUGAAGGCCUGCCUCGCGCAGGCCCGGGUGGGAUCCCGCGGAGAGGCAACUCUCGACGGGCGCACCACCGGCCCGUCUCGGCCGCGACGUCGGCGAGGCGGAGCAAGAGCGUACUUGUUGGGACCCGAAAGAUGGUGAACUAUGCCUGAGCAGGACGAAGCCAGAGGAAACUCUGGUGGAGGUCCGUAGCGAUUCUGACGUGCAAAUCGAUCGU